rnacentral:rRNA from 1 species
UACGGGGGGGGCAAGCGUUGUUCGGAAUUACUGGGCGUAAAGGGCGCGUAGGCGGCCUGCUAAGUCGGAUGUGAAAUCCCUCGGCUCAACCGAGGAACUGCAUCCGAUACUGGCGGGCUGGAAUCCGGGAGAGGGAUGUGGAAUUCCAGGUGUAGCGGUGAAAUGCGUAGAUAUCUGGAGGAACACCGGUGGCGAAGGCGGCAUCCUGGACCGAUAUUGACGCUGAGGUGCGAAAGCGUGGGGAGCAAACAGGG